UGGGGAAUAUUGGACAAUGGAGGGAACUCUGAUCCAGCAAUUCUGUGUGUGUGAAGAAGGUUUUAGGACUGUAAAACACUUUUAGUAGGGAAGAAAAAAAUGACGGUACCUACAGAAGAAGCAACGGCUAAAUACGUGCCAGCAGCCGCGGUAAUACGUAGGUGGCAAGCGUUGUCCGGAAUUAUUGGGCGUAAAGCGCGCGCAGGUGGUUUAGAAAGUCUGAUGUGAAAGCCCACGGCUCAACCGUGGAGGGUCAUUGGAAACUAAUAAACUUGAGUGCAGGAGAGAAAAGUGGAAUUCCUAGUGUAGCGGUGAAAUGCGUAGAGAUUAGGAGGAACACCGGUGGCGAAAGCGGCUUUUUGGCCUGCAACUGACACUGAGGCGCGAAAGCGUGGGGAGCAAACAGG
rnacentral:rRNA from 1 species